GACGAACGCUGGCGGCGUGCUUAACACAUGCAAGUCGAACGGAAAGGCCCUGCUUUUGUGGGGUGCUCGAGUGGCGAACGGGUGAGUAACACGUGAGUAACCUGCCCUUGACUUUGGGAUAACAUCAGGAAACUGGGGCUAAUACCGGAUAGGAGCUCCUGCUGCAUGGUGGGGGUUGGAAAGUUUCGGCGGUUGGGGAUGGACUCGCGGCUUAUCAGCUCGUUGGUGGGGUAGUGGCUUACCAAGGCUUUGACGGGUAGCCGGCCUGAGAGGGUGACCGGCCACAUUGGGACUGAGAUACGGCCCAGACUCCUACGGGAGGCAGCAGUGGGGAAUAUUGCACAAUGGGCGGAAGCCUGAUGCAGCAACGCCGCGUGCAGGAUGACGGCCUUCGGGUUGUAAACCGCUUUCGCCUGUGACGAAGCGUGAGUGACGGUAAUGGGUAAAGAAGCACCGGCUAACUACGUG
rnacentral:rRNA from 1 species